UCCGUAGGGCGCAAGCGUUAUCCGGAAUUAUUGGGCGUAAAGAGCUCGUAGGCGGUUUGUCGCGUCUGCCGUGAAAGUCCGGGGCUCAACUCCGGAUCUGCGGUGGGUACGGGCAGACUAGAGUGAUGUAGGGGAGACUGGAAUUCCUGGUGUAGCGGUGAAAUGCGCGGAUAUCAGGAGGAACACCGAUGGCGAAGGCAGGUCUCUGGGCAUUAACUGACGCUGAGGAGCGAAAGCAUGGGGAGCGAACAGG
rnacentral:rRNA from 1 species